rnacentral:rRNA from 1 species
UGGGGAAUCUUGGACAAUGGGGGCAACCCUGAUCCAGCCAUGCCGCGUGAGUGAUGAAGGCCUUAGGGUCGUAAAGCUCUUUCGCCUGUGAAGAUAAUGACGGUAGCCGGAGAAGAAGCCCCGGCUAACUCCGUGCCAGCAGCCGCGGUAAUACGGAGGGGGCUAGCGUUGUUCGGAAUUACUGGGCGUAAAGCGCGCGUAGGCGGAUUGGUCAGUUGGGGGGUGAAAUCCCGAGGCUUAACCCCGGAACUGCCUCCAAAACUAUUGGUCUAGAGUUCGAGAGAGGUGAGUGGAAUUCCAAGUGUAGAGGUGAAAUUCGUAGAUAUUUGGAGGAACACCAGUGGCGAAGGCGGCUCACUGGCUCGAUACUGACGCUGAGGUGCGAAAGUGUGGGGAGCAAACAGGAUUAGAUACCCUGGUAGUCCACACCGUAAACGAUGAAUGCCAGUCGUCGGGUAGCAUGCUAUUCGGUGACACACCUAACGGAUUAAGCAUUCCGCCUGGGGAGUACGGUCGC